AUAACGGCGUCGAGCGGCGGACGGGUGAGUAAUGCCUAGGAAAUUGCCCUGAUGUGGGGGAUAACCAUUGGAAACGAUGGCUAAUACCGCAUGAUGCCUACGGGCCAAAGAGGGGGACCUUCGGGCCUCUCGCGUCAGGAUAUGCCUAGGUGGGAUUAGCUAGUUGGUGAGGUAAGGGCUCACCAAGGCGACGAUCCCUAGCUGGUCUGAGAGGAUGAUCAGCCACACUGGAACUGAGACACGGUCCAGACUCCUACGGGAGGCAGCAGUGGGGAAUAUUGCACAAUGGGCGCAAGCCUGAUGCAGCCAUGCCGCGUGUGUGAAGAAGGCCUUCGGGUUGUAAAGCACUUUCAGUCGUGAGGAAGGCGGGUUCGUUAAUAGCGGAUUCGUUUGACGUUAGCGACAGAAGAAGCACCGGCUAACUCCGUGCCAGCAGCCGCGGUAAUACGGAGGGUGCGAGCGUUAAUCGGAAUUACUGGGCGUAAAGCGCAUGCAGGUGGUUUGUUAAGUCAGAUGUGAAAGCCCGGGGCUCAACCUCGGAAUAGCAUUUGAAACUGGCAGACUAGAGUACUGUAGAGGGGGGUAGAAUUUCAGGUGUAGCGGUGAAAUGCGUAGAGAUCUGAAGGAAUACCGGUGGCGAAGGCGGCCCCCUGGACAGAUACUGACACUCAGAUGCG
rnacentral:rRNA from 1 species